rnacentral:piRNA from 1 species
UGAUUUAUCACAGAAGCUCCACCCC